AUUGAACGCUGGCGGCACGCCUAACACAUGCAAGUCGAGCGGUAGCAUGGUUAGUAGCAAUACUAACUGAUGACGAGCGGCGGACGGGUGAGGAACACGUAGGAACCUGCCCAAGAGAGGGGGAUAACUAAGGGAAACUUUAGCUAAUACCGCAUAAUUCUCUGGGGAGAAAAGUUGCCCGUAAGGGUAGCGCUUUUGGAGGGGCCUGCGUCCGAUUAGUUAGUUGGUGAGGUAAUGGCUCACCAAGACUGUGAUCGGUAACUGGUCUGAGAGGACGACCAGUCACACUGGGACUGAGACACGGCCCAGACUCCUACGGGAGGCAGCAGUGGGGAAUCUUGGACAAUGGGGGCAACCCUGAUCCAGCGAUGCCGCGUGGGUGAAGAAGGCCUUCGGGUUGUAAAGCCCUUUAGGCUGGGAAGAAGUUUAUGGGAUGAAUAACCCUGUAAAUUGACGGUACCAGCAGAAUAAGCACCGGCAAACUCUGUGCCAGCCGCCGCGGUAA
rnacentral:rRNA from 1 species